GGAAUGAUGGGAAUUUAAACCUCUUCCAGAGUAUCAAUUGGAGGGCAAGUCUGGUGCCAGCAGCCGCGGUAAUUCCAGCUCCAAUAGCGUAUAUUAAAAUUGUUGCAGUUAAAAAGCUCGUAGUUGAAUUUCUGCUGUAUUGCAUUUUCUCUUUUUAUAUGAGUUUUUGCAUUAUGGCUUAUUUCAGUAUUAAUUUUUUAUUAUUACUGAAUGUUUACUUUGAGAAAAUUAGAGUGCUCAAAGCAGGCUUUUGCCUUGAAUAGUUUAGCAUGGAAUAAUAAAGUAGGACUUUGGUUCUAUUUUGUUGGUUUUAGGUACCAAAGUAAUGGUUAAUAGGAACAGUUGGGGGCAUUCGUAUUUAACUGUCAGAGGUGAAAUUCUUAGAUUUGUUAAAGACGAACUACUGCGAAAGCAUUUGCCAAGGAUGUUUUCAUUAAUCAAGAACGAAAGUUAGGGGAUCGAAGACGAUCAGAUACCGUCGUAGUCCACCAAAUAACCUAACGUAGUCCUACCCAUAACUA
rnacentral:rRNA from 1 species